CACAUUGGCAUUUGCAUGCCUGAAGCAUAAAAAUUGAUUCUGGGCAGAGAAGAUGAGAAGAUGGGAUUUUCAGAUGUGGAUGGUCUUAUUCUGGCACUAUACGCUGACUUUACAGUACCGCUGCCCAUCCUAUAUAAUUCAACAGUGUCCACAACUGACCAUAUGAAAAAGAAAAGAAACAAUUGUAGAAGACUGCUUACAAUCGUUGCAAUAGCAAUGACUACAGUCCAUUCUUGUUGUAAUGAUACCAGGUAUCUCUUCCAUGCAUAUACCACACAUAAUUAUAGAAGUUGAUUCCUUGGCCAAACUGAGAUCUUGGUCCUCAGUCAGAGGCACACCCGCAUCCGCAAAUAAACAAGCUUUACCCUUCUCCACAAGCACCGCAAGCAACUUCUCAA